UCCUACGGGAGAAAGGGGGCUUCGGCUCCCGCUAUCGGAUGAGCCUAUGUCGGAUUGGCUAGUUGGUGAGGUAAAGGCUCACCAAGGCGACGAUCCGUAGCUGGUCUGAGAGGAUGAUCAGCCACAUCGGGACUGAGACACGGCCCGAACUCCUACGGGAGGCAGCAGUGGGGAAUAUUGGACAAUGGGGGGAACCCUGAUCCAGCCAUGCCGCGUGUGUGAAGAAGGCCCUCGGGUUGUAAAGCACUUUCAGUGAGGAAGAACGCCUGGUGGUUAAUACCCAUCAGGAAAGACAUCACUCACAGAAGAAGCACCGGCU
rnacentral:rRNA from 1 species